ensembl:lncRNA
GACGGAGUUUCACCGUGGUGCCCAUGCCGGUUUUGAACUCUUGGGCUCAAGUGAUCUGCCUGCCUCAGCGUCCCAAAGUGCUGGGAUUAUAGGCCUGUGCCAUGGCACCCAGCCAGCUCACUGUAACUUCAAACGCCUGUGUUCAAGGAUUCUCCCACUUCAGCCUCCUGAGUAGCUGGGACUACAGGUGUGCACCACCACGCCCGGCUAGAAGCUAUUUUUUUCAUAAGGAUUAAAUGAGUUCUUAGUCCAUAGAAGGCACUUAAAAAAUCAUUCCUGUAAAACUGUUCAUCUUUUCCUUAUUCCUGCCUUCUCCCCUCUGUUCAUUCCAUUUGGCUUGGAAUGCCCUUUCCUUCCUCCCUUUCCAUGGUCACCAUCCUUUUCAUCCUUCAAAUUCCAGUCCAAAUGCCACCUCCUCUAAGAAGUCUUACCUGAUCACGCUGACCAAAAGUGAGCUAUUCUGCUGAUGCCCAUAGUACUAUGUCCCGCUUGGCAUUAGUUGUUGGCAUGCGUAGCAGUCAUAGCAGAGGAGCCUGAGGGCAGUCUGCUGGGGGUUUCCAGAGAAAGGCUUUCCUUGCUCAUCAAAGGCAUACCAAGACCAUGAGGGAAGGCACUACCUUAUUCAAAAAAAUAAAACAAAGAAGGCAGAGGAAGAUUCGACAAAGAGGAGGAAAUGUGAGCACAGAGGCAGAGAUUAGAAUGAUGUGGCCAUAAGCCAAAGAAAAACUGGAGUCACUAGCUGCUCUAAGAGACAAGGAAUGGAUUCUUCUCUGGUUUCCCUCAAAGGAACCAGCCCUGCCAACAUCUUGAUUUUGUUUAUUUAUUUAUUUAUUUAUUUGAGACAGUCUCACUUCGCUGCCCGGGCUGGAGUGCAGCGGCGUGAUUGGAUCUCCGCUCACUGCAACCUCCGCCUCCCGGCUUCCAGCGAUUCUUGUACCUGAGUAGCUGAGAUUACAGGUGUGCACCACCACGCCCAGCUAAUUAUUAUAUUUUUAAUAGAGAUGGGACAUCGCCGUGUUGACCAAGCUGGUCUUGAACUCAUGACCUCAGGUGAUCCACCCACCUCGGCUUCCCAAAGUGCUGGGAUUACAGGCAUGAGCCACUGCACCUGGCCCAACACUUUAAUUUUAAUCCCAUGAGACUCCCUUAAGACUUCUGGCCUCCAGAAUUGUAAGACAAUAAAUUUCUAGGGUUUUAAGCCACUACAUGUGUGCAAUUUGUUCCAGCAGCAAUAGGAAACUGACACACUGCUUCUUUCUCAGGACUAGAUGCAAACCUCCAGGAGACCUUCUGCAACACACCUUGGGUAGAUGCCUCUCCCCCAGCCUCCCUCACACAGCACUGGCUGCAGUGCAGGCCAUUGUCAGUCUCAGGACUGGUGUUUUCUCCUAGACAGCGAGCUCAUUGAGAGCAGACGCCAUGUCUCAUUCAUAUCAUGCUUGUCAGCAAGUAGUUACUCAAUGAAUGAAAGUUGAACCAAUGAAUAAAAAAGGGAAGUUAAAUUAGAUUUGGUUUAACACUGGGUCUUUAUCCAAGACUUCACAGUUGAUUUUAGUUCUUGACUUUGACCCAAGGGAAGUAAAGUAUUAUGCCAUCCAAAUAAAGAUUUUUGUCCUAUCCUCUUACAAAAGCAAGGCUUUCAUAGUGUUUUU